UUAGCCUUUUAAUUAAAGGCUUGUAUGAAUGAUUUAACAUUUUAAUUUCUUUUUUCCUUAAAAUAAGAAAUUUAAUUAAAUAUUAAAAUGUAUUUAUAAAAAAAUUAGACGACAAGACCCUAUUAAACUUAACUUUAGUUUGGCUGGGGAAGCUAAUUAAAAACAAUUUUAAUUUUACCUUAUAAAAAAAAGAUCCAAUACAAUUGAUAAAAUAAGUUACUAUAGGGAUAACAGCGUAAUAUUUUUCUAAAGUUCUUAUUUAAAAAAAAGUUUACGACCUCGAUGUUGAAUUAAAAUUCUUUAAUAUGCAAUCAUCUUAAAAGAAAGUCUGUYCGACUAUUAAAUAACUAC
rnacentral:rRNA from 1 species